rnacentral:rRNA from 1 species
AUUGAACGCUGGCGGAAUGCUUUACACAUGCAAGUCGAACGGCAGCACGGGGCAACCUGGUGGCGAGUGGCGAACGGGUGAGUAAUACAUCGGAACGUGCCCAAUCGUGGGGAUAACGUAGCGAAAGUUACGCUAAUACCGCAUACGAUCUACGGAUGAAAGCGGGGGAUCGCAAGACCUCGCGCGAGUGGAGCGGCCGAUGUCAGAUUAGGUAGUUGGUGGGGUAAAGGCUCACCAAGCCAACGAUCUGUAGCUGGUCUGAGAGGACGACCAGCCACACUGGAACUGAGACACGGUCCAGACUCCUACGGGAGGCAGCAGUGGGGAAUUUUGGACAAUGGGCGCAAGCCUGAUCCAGCCAUUCCGCGUGCAGGAUGAAGGCCUCGG